rnacentral:rRNA from 1 species
CCGGCACGGGUGAGUAACACGUAUCCAACCUGCCGUCUACUCUUGGCCAGCCUUCUGAAAGGAAGAUUAAUCCAGGAUGGCAUCAUGAGUUCACAUGUCCGCAUGAUUAAAGGUAUUUUCCGGUAGACGAUGGGGAUGCGUUCCAUUAGAUAGUAGGCGGGGUAACGGCCCGCCUAGUCAACGAUGGAUAGGGGUUCUGAGAGGAAGGUCCCCCACAUUGGAACUGAGACACGGUCCAA